GCCCCGCGCUCCCCGACACAUCCCGCGUCCCGCAGCGCCUCGGGGCCGGAUCUCACCGGGCAGCGGCCCCGCGCUACGUCAGCUGGAAAACCUUCUCGUUCCACCACACCUCCGCGGAGGCCGAGGCCCCUCCCGACGCCCGCGGUUCCUUUCUCCCCCUCCCUCCCGCUCCUUCAGGCCCGCCCGGGCGGCCGCGGCGGCCCACGCCCUGCGGGGAAGUGGGUGCGGGUUACCAGCCGGCUGUACACGCAACGUGCGCUGUUCGGACCCCCAGGCGUGGCAGUGCCCGGAGCAGCGCUGCGGGGCCGCCCGUGACUCAGCUGCUCCGGGAGCGCUCCUCACCAUAAGGGAAGGGAACACCGACGGGGCGAGCAGCGCCAGAGAGCGGCUCUGCACGCAAUGAGAUCCGAAGGCAACGAGGGCGAUGAGCGCAGGGCCGGAGGAGCGUUACGGACCGGGGAAACGCUACCGCGAGCCGGUACUGUCAUCAAGCGCUAGGAAGCGCUAACUUGGUCAUGAAUAAAAGCAUGGUUAAAGUCA